rnacentral:sRNA from 1 species
UAUUCACAGCCGUCUCAGUCUGAGUCACUCGUUCCUCUCUAUUAUACUCGGUUAACCCUCAAUGCAAGAUAUGGCCUCCUUUAAUCGUAAAGCGGAUAUGGAUCAUCUCAUAGAAAUAAUCCGAAUACAUGGGCACUAGCUUUGCUCGGAACGAUGUCGCCUACACCGCUGAUGUGUCCUAAGAAACAACGUCGCUCUGCCAGGGUGUAUGGACCCAAACUGGGUUUCUCAGUUGAUUCCCGAUGCCUUUCCUAUGUUUAGGUAGAGCUGCAAGGAGCAGAGGUUUGCACAGUUUCCUUUCUCCUGGAUGGGUAAACAGCCAAGGUUAGCUAGCCCCUCCUGCAUGAAGCUUACUCGUUUAAGCGCCAAUUACUCGCCUUUGCAGCGUCUCCUGUUAGUGUUAAGUUGUAAACAGUUCCCGCGGACUCACUAUCUGAGCCACACGUGAAGGCCAGGCGUAGGACUGGUUGUCAGAGGCUAUUUGAAACGCUUGCCAUUGGAAGCAUUUUAAAAGUAGUAUAGUACUUAUAUCCAUUACCACUUCCAACAACCUUACGGAACCUAGGGCCUCUUAGUAAACAGAGCAAAUCUAUUACAUAAGAUUAUAUCAGCCAAUGAACCAAUAACACUCCAUAACAUUAAUAUAUGUCUAUCUCUCUAAAUGUUUUAAUCAUGUGUUUCAUUUUUUAAAGUAAAAAAAAAAGUUUUCAAAAGAUAAACUCAAAUGAAUUAAAAUGAACUUAAUAGGUGCAGCAGUUGGAACGUAACGCAAGACUUGGAAGAAUCCCACGUAAACAUGAGAAACCAGCUGUAUGCAUCGAUACCAGUUCCAAACCCCUCCCUCCUGCAGUCAGAGUACGGACAUGGAGUGAGAGGCAUGUCAGUACAGGCUCAACAGUGGCCACGUGCCUGGACCAAGGCGACCUGGAGUCCUGCACCAUCAGUCUGGCCUACACAUUUAUAACCAUCCAAUCAUGAACGAUUCCUAUACUGCACAAAUUGUUGGCUUCCACAUGUCGUCGAUGUAUAGAACAGUUGUAAAUAAAAUGUAUUCGUUUUACACACACAAAAAA